rnacentral:rRNA from 1 species
AGCGAACGCUGGCGGCAGGCCUAACACAUGCAAGUCGAACGAAGUCUUCGGACAUGGUGGCGGACGGGUGUGUAAUACGUGGGAACGUGCCUUUAGGUUCGGAAUAACUCAGGGAAACUUGUGCUAAUACCGAAUGUGCCCUUCGGGGGAAAGAUUUAUCGCCUUUAGAGCGGCCCGCUUAUGAUUAGCUAGUUGGUGGGGGAAAGGGUAACCAAGGCUACGAUCGGUAGCUGGUCUGAGAGGAUGACCAGCCACAUUGGGACUGAGACACGGCCCAAACUCCUACGGGAGGGAGCAGUGGGGAAUCUUGCGCAAUGGGCGAAAGCCUGACGCAGCCAUGCCGCGUGGAUGAUGAAGGUCUUAGGAUUGUAAAAUCCUUUCACCGGUGAAGAUAAUGACUGUAGCCGGAGAAGAAGCCCCGGCUAACUUCGUGCCAGCAGCCGCCGUAAUAC